GCGCAGGAAAAGAAACCAACAGGGAUUACCUCAGUAACGGCGAGUGAAGCGGUAAUAGCUCAAAUUUGAAAUCUGGCCUCUCGGGGUCCGAGUUGUAAUUUGUAGAGGAUGUUUUGGGUACCGCCCCGGUCUAAAUUUCUUGGAACAGAAUGUCACAGAGGGUGAGAAUCCCGUCUUGGACCGGCGGUAGGGCCUGUGUAAAACUCCUUCGACGAGUCGAGUUGUUUGGGAAUGCAGCUCAAAAUGGGUGGUAAAUUUCAUCUAAAGCUAAAUAUUGGCCAGAGACCGAUAGCGCACAAGUAGAGUGAUCGAAAGAUGAAAAGCACUUUGAAAAGAGAGUUAAACAGUAUGUGAAAUUGUUGAAAGGGAAGCGCUUGCAACCAGACUUGAGCGCGGCGGUUCCCCCGGCCUUUUGGUCGGGCUACUCCGUCGUGUCCAGGCCAACAUCGGUUCUGAGGGUCGGUCAAAGGCUUUGGCAAUGUAUCUACCCACGGGUAGACUUAUAGGCCAGAGUGUCAUGCGGCCUCUCGGGACCGAGGAACGCGCUCGGCUC
rnacentral:rRNA from 1 species